AUGUCUUUUCCAUGUAUUCUAUAUUCAGGAAAUAAUCUGGAAAACACACUGAAUAGAGCCACAGACUUGGCUUCAAAUCCCAACAACUCGUCUGAGUAACAUUGGCAGGUUGCUUUUCUAUGAAAUGAGAAUCAUUGUGCCUACCUAUAAGUCAAUUGGGAUAAUGGAUGUAAAGUGCUUGCCACAGUGCCUGCUACAUGCUCAAGUCUCUGGAGGUCCCAGAUGCCCACGCUUCCCUCUUUGCUCUCUUCGAGGCUGCUGCUCUAUGAACCAAUAUCAAAAUAUCAGGCCUUGUGUGCUAAUAGAAAUGUCCAAAUUCUCUUAAAAAAUUGGAAGACCUGGACCUACAUUCCUGCAUGGUAACAAUCAGCUACAGCAGAGUGUCCCAUGCUCCAUGAGUUAAGUAGACCCUGAAAACAACAACAACAACAACAACAACCAGCAACCAACAA
rnacentral:lncRNA from 1 species